GAAGGAACUCCCGGUGUGAUAUG
rnacentral:miRNA from 1 species